rnacentral:rRNA from 1 species
GACGAACGCUGGCGGCGUGCUUAACACAUGCAAGUCAAGCGGUAAGGCCCUUUCGGGGGUACACGAGCGGCGAACGGGUGAGUAACACGUGGGUGACCUGCCCUCAGCUCUGGGAUAAGCCUGGGAAACCGGGUCUAAUACUGGAUAUGACUCCAUGACGCAUGUUGUGGGGUGGAAAGCCUUGUGCGGCCGAGGAUGGGCCCGCGGCCUAUCAGCUUGUUGGUGGGUGAUGGCCUACCAAGGCGA